rnacentral:rRNA from 1 species
GAUGAACGCUGGCGGCGUGCCUAAUACAUGCAAGUCGAGCGAACAGACGAGGAGCUUGCUCCUCUUACGUUAGCGGCGGACGGGUGAGUAACACGUGGAUAACCUACCUAUAAGACUGGGAUAACUUCGGGAAACCGGAGCUAAUACCGGAUAAUAUAUUGAACCGCAUGGUUCAAUAUUGAAAGACGGUUUUGCUGUCACUUAUAGAUGGAUCCGCGCCGCAUUAGCUAGUUGGUAAGGUAACGGCUUACCAAGGCGACGAUGCGUAGCCGACCUGAGAGGGUGAUCGGCCACACUGGAACUGAGACACGGUCCAGACUCCUACGGGAGGCAGCAGUAGGGAAUCUUCCGCAAUGGGCGAAAGCCUGACGGAGCAACGCCGCGUGAGUGAUGAAGGUCUUCGGAUCGUAAAACUCUGUUAUUAGGGAAGAACAAAUGUGUAAGUAACUAUGCACGUCUUGACGGUACCUAAUCAGAAAGCCACGGCUAACUACGUG